AGUAACGCGUGGAUAAUCUGCCUUAGAGUGGGGGAUAACUAGUCGAAAGAUUAGCUAAUACCGCAUAAGACCACAAGAGCUGCGGCUCAAGGGGUCAAAGGUUUUUCGCUCUAAGAUGAGUCCGCGUAAGAUUAGCUAGUUGGUGAGGUAAUGGCUCACCAAGGCGACGAUCUUUAACUGGUCUGAGAGGAUGAUCAGUCACACUGGAACUGAGACACGGUCCAGACUCCUACGGGAGGCAGCAGUAGGGAAUAUUGCACAAUGGAGGAAACUCUGAUGCAGCGACGCCGCGUGAGUGAUGAAGGCCUUCGGGUCGUAAAGCUCUGUCGCAGGGGAAUAACACAAUGAAUGUACCCUGUAAGAAAGGAUCGGCUAACUUCGUGCCAGCAGCCGCGGUAAGACGAGGGAUCCUAGCGUUGUUCGGAAUCAUUGGGCGUAAAGCGGAUGUAGGUGGCUUUGUAAGUCAGGUGUGAAAGCCUGGGGCUCAACCCCAGAAGUGCAUUUGAUACUGCGAAGCUUGAGUGUCGGAGAGGUUACUAGAAUUGUUGGUGUAGUGGUGAAAUACGUAGAUAUCAACAGGAAUACCGGAGGCGAAGGCGGGUAACUGGCCGAACACUGACACUGAGAUCCGAAAGCGUGGGGAUCAAACAGGAUUAGAUACCCUGGUAGUCCACGCCGUAAACGAUGGAUACUUGUUGUUGGAGGUAUUGACCCCUUCAGUGACGAAGCUAACGCGUUAAGUAUCCCGCCUGGGGAGUACGGUCGCAAGAUUAAAACUCAAAGAAAUUGACGGGGGCCCGCACAAGCGGUGGAGCAUGUGGUUUAAUUCGAUGCAACGCGAAGAACCUUACCUAGGCUUGACAUGUACUGGAAGAUUGCCAGAAAUGUCGUCGCCCGCAAGGGUCGGUACACAGGUGCUGCAUGGCUGUCGUCAGCUCGUGUCGUGAGAUGUUGGGUUAAGUCCCGCAACGAGCGCAACCCCUGCAUUCAGUUGCCAGCAUUCAGUUGGGCACUCUACAUGGACUGCCGGUGUUAAACCGGAGCAAGGUGGG
rnacentral:rRNA from 1 species